UGUAGCCGCAUCAUGCACCACACUGCGACAUUUCUUUCUCCCCGAAUCUUCCCGGAUAAUCCUUAAAUCUCUUCACUCUUUUAAUUGGCACUUUUUUUGAAUCUUUUUGUGGUCUCUAAUUAGACAUAUUUCUAUUACUAGGAUGUUUAAAAUAAUUAACAUGACACGUUAUAGAGACUUGAGAAUUAAACAAUAAUCAUAAAAGAACUUCUAAACCAAACAUAAUGACCGUCUCUCAAAACACUCUAUCUUUGGUAUAUUCCUAUGAUAUGAAAAUUGGAAAGU